rnacentral:misc_RNA from 1 species
CCGAGUUUCUAACUCCAUACCUUUGUGAACAUACCUAUCGUUGCUUCGGCGGGUCCGUCCCGGAGCUGGCAGUGCACGGCCAGCCCCGGAACCAGACGCCCGCCGAGGACCCCAAACUCUUGUUUUUAUAGUGGAUCUUCUGAGUCUUAUACAAAAUAAAUUA